ACUAAACCAGGACUAAACCAGGACUGAACCAGGAUUUAACCAGGACUAAACCAGGACUAAACCAGGACUGAACCAGGACUAAACCAGGUCUAAACCAGGACUGAACCAGGACUAAACCAGGACUAAACCAGGACUAAACCAGGACUGAACCAGGACUAAACCAGGUCUAAACCAGGACUAAACCAGGUCUAAACCAGGUCUAAACCAGGUCUAAACCAGGACUAAACCAGGACUAAACCAGGACUAAACCAGGACUAAACCAGGUCUAAACCAGGUCUAAACCAGGACUAAACCAGGUCUAAACCAGGACUAAACCAGGACUAAACCAGGUCUAAACCAGGUCUAAACCAGGUCUAAACCAGGACUAAACCAGGUCUAAACCAGGACUAAACCAGGACUAAACCAGGUCUAAAUCAGGACUAAACCAGGACUAAACCAGGUCUAAACCAGGACUAAACCAGGACUAAACCAGGACUAAACCAGGUCUAAAUCAGGACUAAACCAGGACUAAACCAGGACUAAACCAGGACUAAACCAGGACUAAACCAGGACUAAACCAGGAC
ensembl:lncRNA